rnacentral:snoRNA from 10 species
UGGACCAAUGGUAGAAAUGUGUUAUGAAUUAAGAAUUAUGAUUAAUCCAUUUCAGCACAACCAAAUUCAUU